GAUUGGCCCGCGUUCGAUUAGCUAGAUGGCGGGGUAACGGCCCACCAUGGCGACGAUCGAUAGCUGGUCUGAGAGGACGGCCAGCCACAUUGGGACUGAGGCACGGCCCAAACUCCUACGGGAGGCAGCAGUGGGGAAUAUUGGACAAUGGGCGCAAGCCUGAUCCAGCCAUGCCGCGUGAGUGAUGACGGCCUUAGGGUUGUAAAGCUCUUUCGCACGCGACGAUAAUGACGGUAGCGUGAGAAGAAGCCCCGGCUAACUUCGUGCCAGCAGCCGCGGUAAUACGAAGGGGGCUAGCGUUGUUCGGAAUCACUGGGCGUAAAGGGUGCGUAGGCGGAUUCUUAAGUCAGGGGUGAAAUCCCGAGGCUCAACCUCGGAACUGCCUUUGAUACUGGGGAUCUUGAGUCCGGAAGAGGUGAGUGGAACUGCGAGUGUAGAGGUGAAAUUCGUAGAUAUUCGCAAGAACACCGGUGGCGAAGGCGGCUCACUGGUCCGGAACUGACGCUGAGGCACGACAGCGUGGGGAGCAAACAGGAUUAGAUACCCUGGUAGUCCACGC
rnacentral:rRNA from 1 species